rnacentral:rRNA from 1 species
UCCGUAGGGUAACCUGCGGAGGGAUCAUUACCGAGUUUACAACUCCCAAACCCCUGUGAACAUACCACUUGUUGCCUCGGCGGAUCAGCCCGCUCCCGGUAAAACGGGACGGCCCGCCAGAGGACCCCUAAACUCUGUUUCUAUAUGUAACUUCUGAGUAAAACCAUAAAUAAAUCAAAACUUUCAACAACGGAUCUCUUGGUUCUGGCAUCGAUGAAGAACGCAGCAAAAUGCGAUAAGUAAUGUGAAUUGCAGAAUUCAGUGAAUCAUCGAAUCUUUGAACGCACAUUGCGCCCGCCAGUAUUCUGGCGGGCAUGCCUGUUCGAGCGUCAUUUCAACCCUCAAGCACAGCUUGGUGUUGGGACUCGCGUUAAUUCGCGUUCCUCAAAUUGAUUGGCGGUCACGUCGAGCUUCCAUAGCGUAGUAGUAAAACCCUCGUUACUGGUAAUCGUCGCGGCCACGCCGUUAAACCCCAACUUCUGAAUGUUGACCUCGGAUCAGGAAGAAUACAACCGCUGAACUUAAGCAUAUCAAAGGCGGAGGAAGA